CUUUAUGGGCCAAAAUACCCCAAAGGCACCAGAUCCCACCUGAACUUGGAUGCUAAGCAUGGUCAACCCUGGUUGUCCUGAGAUGGAAGACUGCCAGUGAAUACCAAGCACUAUAAGCU
rnacentral:rRNA from 1 species